rnacentral:rRNA from 1 species
ACGGGAGGCAGCAGUGGGGAAUAUUGGACAAUGGGGGAAACCCUGAUCCAGCGACGCCGCGUGAGUGAAGAAGUAUUUCGGUAUGUAAAGCUCUAUCAGCAAGGAAGAAAAUGACGGUACUUGACUAAGAAGCUCCGGCUAAAUACGUGCCAGCAGCCGCGGUAAUACGUAUGGAGCAAGCGUUAUCCGGAUUUACUGGGUGUAAAGGGAGCGUAGACGGCGCUGCAAGUCAGAUGUGAAAGGCUGGGGCUUAACCCCGGGACUGCAUUUGAAACUGCAGUGCUCGAGUGCCGGAGAGGUAAGCGGAAUUCCUAGUGUAGCGGUGAAAUGCGUAGAUAUUAGGAGGAACACCAGUGGCGAAGGCGGCUUACUGGACGGUAACUGACGUUGAGGCUCGAAAGCGUGGGGAGCAAACAGGAUUAGAUACCCUGGUA